ACGCUCGACACCUACGGGAGGCAGCAGUGGGGAAUAUUGCACAAGUGGGACGAAACUCUGACNGCAGCCGNUGACGAGAGUACGGAAGGUAAGGUUUUACCGGUAUUUGGUUAAAACCUCGUUAGGUACGUUGGGAACGAAGUAACGUACGACGGUAACCCGAAGGAAGGAACGACCGUCCGGCUAACUACGUGUCAGCACGCCGACGGUAAUCUGGAGGCCGGGCUGGACGAAGGC
rnacentral:rRNA from 1 species